UCACCGCAUGGUGGUGUGUGGAAAGGGUUUACUGGUCUUGGAUGGGCUCACGGCCUAUCAGCUUGUUGGUGAGGUAAUGGCUCACCAAGGCGACGACGGGUAGCCGGCCUGAGAGGGUGACCGGCCACACUGGGACUGAGACACGGCCCAGACUCCUACGGGAGGCAGCAGUGGGGAAUAUUGCACAAUGGGCGAAAGCCUGAUGCAGCGACGCCGCGUGAGGGAUGACGGCCUUCGGGUUGUAAACCUCUUUCAGCAGGGAAGAAGCCACAAGUGACGGUACCUGCAGAAGAAGCGCCGGCUAACUACGUGCCAGCAGCCGCGGUAAUACGUAGGGCGCAAGCGUUGUCCGGAAUUAUUGGGCGUAAAGAGCUCGUAGGCGGUUUGUCGCGUCUGCUGUGAAAGCCCGGGGCUUAACCCCGGGUGUGCAGUGGGUACGGGCAGACUAGAGUGCAGUAGGGGAGACUGGAAUUCCUGGUGUAGCGGUGGAAUGCGCAGAUAUCAGGAGGAACACCGAUGGCGAAGGCAGGUCUCUGGGCUGUUACUGACGCUGAGGAGCGAAAGCAUGGGGAGCGAACAGGAUUAGAUACCCUGGUAGUCCAUGCCGUAAACGUUGGGCACUAGGUG
rnacentral:rRNA from 1 species